AUGCUUAACACAUGCAAGUCGAACGUGCCUUCGGGCAAGUGGCAGACGGCUGAGUAACGCGUGAGUAACACACCCUUCGGUGGGGUAUAGCCUCGGGAAACUGAGGGUAAUCCCGCAUACGAUCCCGAUACCCUGGUAUCGGGAUGAAAGCCUUCGGGCGCCGGAGGAGUGGCUCGCGUCCUAUCAGGUAGUUGGUGAGGUAACGGCUCACCAAGCCGAUGACGGGUAGCUGGUCUUAGAGGACGAUCAGCCAGAGGGGGACUGAGACACGGCCCCCACUCCUACGGGAGGCAGCAGCAGGGAAUUUUGGGCAAUGGACGAAAGUCUGACCCAGCGACGUCGCGUGGGGGAUGAAGGCUCUAGGGCUGUAAACCCCUUUUCCGAGGGAAGAGGAAGGACGGUACCUCGGGAAUAAGCUCCGGCUAACUACGUGCCAGCAGCCGCGGUAAUACGUAGGGAGCGAGCGUUACCCGGAAUUACUGGGCGUAAAGAGCACGUAGGCGGUUGGAUAAGUCUUCUGUGAAAGCUCCUGGCUCAACUGGGAGAGGUCAGGGGAUACUAUUCGACUUGAGGGCUGUAGAGGUAAGCGGAAUUCCCGGUGUAGCGGUGAAAUGCGUAGAUAUCGGAAGGAACACCAGUGG
rnacentral:rRNA from 1 species